rnacentral:rRNA from 1 species
GAUGAACGCUGGCGGCGUGCCUAAUACAUGCAAGUCGAGCGAACAGACGAGGAGCUUGCUCCUCUGACGUUAGCGGCGGACGGGUGAGUAACACGUGGAUAACCUACCUAUAAGACUGGGAUAACUUCGGGAAACCGGAGCGAAUACCGGAUAAUAUAUUGAACCGCAUGGUUCAAUAGUGAAAGACGGUUUUGCUGUCACUUAUAGAUGGAUCCGCGCCGCCUUAGCUAGUUGGUAAGGUAGCGGCUUACCAAGGCAACGAUGCGUAUCCGACCUGAGAGGGUGAUCGGUCACACUGGAACUGGGACACGGUCCAGACUCCUACGGGAGGCAGCAGUAGGGAAUCUUCCGCAAUGGGCGAAAGCCUGACGGAGCAACGCCGCGUGAGUGAUGAAGGUCUUCGGAUCGUAAAACUCUGUUAUUAGGGAAGAACAAAUGUGUAAGUAACUAUGCACGUAUUGACGGUACCUAAUCAGAAAGCCACGGCUAACUACGUG